AACGAACGCUGGCGGCAUGCCUAACACAUGCAAGUCGAACGAGAUCUUCGGAUCUAGUGGCGCACGGGUGCGUAACGCGUGGGAAUCUGCCCUUGGGUUCGGAAUAACAGUGAGAAAUUACUGCUAAUACCGGAUGAUGUCUUCGGACCAAAGAUUUAUCGCCCAGGGAUGAGCCCGCGUAGGAUUAGCAAGUUGGUGGGGUAAUGGCCUACCAAGGCGACGAUCCUUAGCUGGUCUGAGAGGAUGAUCAGCCACACUGGGACUGAGACACGGCCCAGACUCCUACGGGAGGCAGCAGUGGGGAAUAUUGGACAAUGGGCGAAAGCCUGAUCCAGCAAUGCCGCGUGAGUGAUGAAGGCCUUAGGGUUGUAAAGCUCUUUUACCAGGGAUGAUAAUGACAGUACCUGGAGAAUAAGCUCCGGCUAACUCCGUGCCAGCCGCCGCAGUAA
rnacentral:rRNA from 1 species